CGUAGGGGUCGAGCGUUGUCCGGAGUUACUGGGGCGUAAAGCGCAUGCAGGCGGCUCAUUACGCAUGGCGUGAAAUCCCCCGGCUUAACCGGGGAGGGUCGUCGUGAACGGGUGAGCUUGAGGAUAUCAGGGGCUGGUGGAAUUCCCGGUGUAGUGGUGAAAUGCGUAGAGAUCGGGAGGAACACCUGUGGCGAAGGCGGCCAGCUGGGAUAUACCUGACGCUGAGAUGCGAAGGCGUGGGGGAGCGAACGGGAUU
rnacentral:rRNA from 1 species